GCCUCGGUGGUGCAAAUGGCUAAGAUGCUUAGCUGCUAAUCAAAAGAUUGGAGGUUCAAAUCCACCCAGAGGCA
rnacentral:tRNA from 1 species